rnacentral:rRNA from 1 species
UUAACAAAAACAUGGCCUUUUGAGAAUAAUUUAAGGUCUGGCCUGCUCACUGACUUGUUUUGAAGAGCCGCGGUAUUUUGACCGUGCAAAGGUAGCAUAAUCAUUAGUCUCUUAAUUGGAGGCUGGAAUGAAUGGUUUGACGAGGAGUUGACUGUCUCUAUAUAAUAUCUAGAAUUUAACUUUUAAGUUAAAAGGCUUAAAUUUUUCUUUAGGACGAGAAGACCCUGUAGAGCUUGAUAUAUUGUUUUUAUAUGGUUUUUAGUUUGUUUUCCUAUAUUUAAAUUAAUAUAUUUUGUUGGGGUGACAUGAAGGAUAAAUAAACCCUUCAUUAUUAAAUCAUUGAUUUAUGUUAUUUUGAUCCAUAAUUUAUGAUCAUAAGAUUAAGUUACCUUAGGGAUAACAGCGUAAUUGUUUUAGAGAGCUCAAAUCGACAAAGCAGAUUGCGACCUCGAUGUUGGAUUAAGAAAAAUGCUAGGUGCAGUAGCUUAGUAAUUAGUCUGUUCGACCUUAU